rnacentral:rRNA from 1 species
UACGUAGGUGGCAAGCGUUGUCCGGAUUUAUUGGGUUUAAAGGGUGCGUAGGCGGCCCUGUAAGUCAGUGGUGAAAUACUCCAGCUUAACUGGAGGGGUGCCAUUGAUACUGCAGGGCUUGAGUACAGAUGAAGUAGGCGGAAUUGACGGUGUAGCGGUGAAAUGCAUAGAUAUCGUCAAGAACUCCGAUAGCGAAGGCAGCUUACUAAGCUGUAACUGACGCUGAGGCACGAAAGUGUGGGGAUCAAACAGGAUUAGAAACCCCCGUAGUCC